rnacentral:tRNA from 1 species
GGGAAGGUAGCUCAGUGGUAGAGCGCUUGCCUUAAAUGCUUGAAGCCCUGGGUUCAAUUCCUCAGCACCA